UACGUAGGUGGCAAGCGUUGUUCGGAGUUACUGGGCGUAAAGGGUGUGUAGGCGGUUAUUUAAGUUUGGUGUGAAAUCUCCCGGCUCAACCGGGAGGGUGCGCCGAAUACUGAAUGACUUGGAGUGCGGGAGAGGUGAGUGGAAUUCCUGGUGUAGCGGUGAAAUGCGUAGAUAUCAGGAGGAACACCGGUGGUGUAGACGGCUCACUGGACCGUAACUGACGCUGAGACACGAAAGCGUGGGUAGCAAACGGG
rnacentral:rRNA from 1 species